CGUAGGGGGCAAGCGUUGUCCGGAAUCAUUGGGCGUAAAGAGCGUGUAGGCGGCCCGGUAAGUCCGCUGUGAAAGUCCAGGGCUCAACCCUGGGAUGCCGGUGGAUACUGUCGGGCUCGAGUCCGGAAGAGGAGUGUGGAAUUCCUGGUGUAGCGGUGAAAUGCGCAGAUAUCAGGAGGAACACCAAUGGCGAAGGCAGCACUCUGGGACGUGACUGACGCUGAGACGCGAAAGCGUGGGGAGCAAACAGGAUUAGAUACCCUGGUAGUCCACGCUGAAAACGAUGGGCACUAGGUGUGGGGGGUGUCGACUCCCUCCGUGCCGAAGCUAACGCAUUAAGUGCCCCGCCUGGGGAGUACGGCCGCAAGGCUA
rnacentral:rRNA from 1 species